rnacentral:lncRNA from 1 species
ACGCCCCAGCUUAUCCACGCUCUGCGAUCUCGUGUCUGUUUCUCUCUCUCUCUCUCUCUCUCUCUCUCUCUCUCUCUCUCUCUCAUCAUUUUAACCAUUGUACCAGCUCCUUUUAAAUGUAUCUGCGGAGGAUCUGGUCAAGUGGAGAUAAUCCAUGCAAAUCAGAAACUGGUUGUCAGUGUGUGGUUCCCGGAGAGGACUCAGCCUGAGGAGGUCACUCGUUCACAGCCGCUCCUCCCAUUCUAUCUCUCCCCUUAUUGCAGAACUGCUGUAUGUAUACAGUAGCAGAAAGGACUCAAUUGACUUCAACUGCUGCCUGGUUUUGCUUACAACUUUUUCUUAUAAAGGAACUUACCUCCAUCUGUCUCUUGAAGGUGGCUGGCUACUUCCUCUAAACUCCACAACUCAUUCGAAAGACUAUGGAGCCUACAUAGUUUCUAAAGACAAACGAUGAAUUUCAAAGAGUUACAACAUGUAUUCCUGGGAAUUCAAGGAAGGAAUAUCAUUGCCAUUCCAUUGCUGGUGAAUGUGUGCUGGCGAGCCCUAAGGUGACAGGAGAGAUCUUGGGAUCUGAAACUGGGGUUCGUUCCUGCCAGCACAUGGUGCAGUGGGAGAAGCAAUUGGAAGGCUUUGCCAUCUUGGAAAUAUGCAAACAUGCAUUGGCAUAGCCUUUCAGGAGGAUGAAUGAAAAGGAGACUGCAAAACAAAAGGGCUUUCAAGGGAGCACAAGCAGUGCCUCCGAAUCACAGCAAUGAUUAUGACCACCAUUAGCGUUUAAUGAGCCUAUGGACAGCUAAUGGCUUCAUCUCUCCAGUGGGCCUGCCAAUUGCCCGUGUUUCUAUGCACAUUCCUCCUUCUCUCCUAAGGAGCAAAAUCGUGGUGCUGUUAGGCCAAACAAGUCCAAGUCAUUGCUUGAGACCACCAUACUGCUUCUUCUUGGGACUGAAGGUUCAGAAAAAAAAAAAGAAUUCUGGGGCACUAUUUUUAGAGCCCUAGCCCACCAUCAGGAAUCAGGACAACAGUAGUUGAGCAUCAACUAUUUUAAGACCUACAUUCUUCAUCUCUAAAAUGUCCUUGGUCAUUGUCAUGGUAAUGAUCACACAGUGAUGACUCACAUCCUAUUUCCAAAAUGACAUUAAAUACAGUAUAUGCCACUGAGAUGUUUGUAUGUAGAAUUACCAUUUGUUUUACUUAGAAAAUAUUACAAAUGCUAUCAUUUAUUUCAGACAUAUCUUCAUUAGCAAUUCAAGAUAAUAUGAUAUUUUAAGUUUUAAUAAACUGUCUAUUGAGCUAUUCAAAACUAUUAAUUAUAAUAAGAGCUAAAUUGAAUCAAAGUCAUCUUGAUUAACCAUAUUAUAAUUUGUGUAUGUGUAUAUGACCCCAGGGUUUUAAUUCUGGCUACAUAUAUGCAAAAUUUGUCCUCUGCCACUUAGCUUUACACAAGCCUGAUACUCCAAUCAUAUUCAAAAUGGAUAGCAUUAAUAUUCAUUAUCAAAGGCAAAAGCUGGCAAAAUAAAAGUAAUAGCCACAAGUCUUACUAAUAGGUUAUUUGUGGGGAGAAAACAUUUUCCAUAAAAAUAAAAGAUGGUCUUCUUCUUUGUGAUUCUGAGAUACUUAUUUUCAUUCUUUUGUUUUUUAAAAUAUAACCCGGUAUAUACCUUCUCUUAAAAAAAAAAGAAUACAUCAAUAGCAAUGCAACUGUGUAGGAUACAGUAUUAGAUAUUUGCUGUGCUACUUUAGAAAUUCUAAACUCUACAGCAAAGUAGUCAGAAAUCAUUUUCCAAUCGAAUGCUGUCCAUAAACUGAUCACCAUGGUAACAGAAAGGACAGGGAUGCCUGCUCAGUCAAGGGAGCAGGUUGGGCUCCAGUCCCAAAUUGUCAGUGGGACUGUCUGAGUGAUUUAGAGUAAUUAGCAUUUAUCUGGCUAAGAUUUCUGAUAUAAUUUUAAGAAAUGGUAGAAAAGAACCUCACAUUUGAAGGGUGAUAUUUAGAGAAAAACUCUCAAGCAACAAAAAUAUUUAGCAGACUGUACUAUGCAGUUGGUCCUAAGUCUGCUGUCUGGGGCUCAUUAGACAUCAAGAGUAGACAGUUAGUUUAAAAAUUGAUUCUUCUUGUCUUAGUUUCGUUUUCUAUUACUAUGACAAAACACACUGACAAAGCAGCGUAAGGAGAAGGGAUGUAUUUGGACCUACCAUUCCACGUUGCAGUUCAUCACAGCAGAAAGCGCAGGAACCUAGCUAGGGAGCUGGUUAUACCAUGGCAGCAGGCGAGAGCAGAAGGUGAUAAAGGUGAUAAGUACUUCGACUCAGGUCACUGUCUCCCUUUUUGUGUAGUUCAAUUCCCAAGCCAAGGUCUGGAGCCACCCACAGUGGGCAGACCCUCUUGCAACAAUUAGCCCAGUGAAAGUAUUCCCCAACAGAUGUCCCCGGCACUGCAUCUCCCAGGCGACUCUAAAUCUCAUUAAACUGACAGUUGAGACGAACCAACACACUCCAAUAAAAACAUGUCAGCUCAAACUUGCUGGUUUCAAGCAGAGAUCUCUGUGGUUUAUUUAUACAAAUAAAAUCAGCAUAUAAAAAUAUUCAUAUGCCACACAAAAAGUGUGUUCAGCUAGAGUAAUAAAUUAUUUUCAUAAAGCC